GACAGAGGUGCCAAGCGUUAGGCGGAAUCACUGGGCUUAAAGCGUGUGUAGGCGGACUUGUAAGUACCUUGUGAAAUCCCACGGCUCACCCGUGGAACUGCUGGGUAUACUGCGAGUCUUGAGCCACUUAGGGCUGUCGGAACAGGCGGUGGAGCGGUGAAAUGCGUAGAUAUCGCCUGGAACGCCAAAGGUGAAAACAGACAGCUGGGAGUGUGCUGACGCUGAGACACGAAAGCCAGGGGAGCGAACGGG
rnacentral:rRNA from 1 species